rnacentral:lncRNA from 1 species
GUACUUAACUGAAUUUUAUAACGCUGAUCGAUAUCUUGGUAAAAUAUUCAUUUUUAAACUAGCGGGCAGCGAAAUCUUUGCUUUGUGUGCUAAAGUCAACAGUCGCACAGUUCGGGCUCCAAUAAAUGCGGCGAUGCUGCGGCUUGGAGCAGUCAGGGCGUCUCCCAAUGCAAGACAGUCCUCGCCCGGACGUGGGCUGCGGAGGGCCCCGCACCAGGAACCCAUUGGUCAGAAGCAGCCUGUUCGAAGGUGGGAGAAUUGUGGCAGCAAAACAAUGUUUCCUGUGAUUUUCAUAUUCCACCUUGGGCAAGAUGUGGUCCCCCUUUUCAGAGGCUCACCACAUGGACUGUAUGACCCAAGAGCCUCUUCUGCACCAGAAUGGAUGUGUCUCAGAAACAAAUAGCGGGAGAGAUAAUCAAGAUAAAGGCUAAGAUUUUGAUUUGUAACAAAAUCUAUCAUUACUUGUAUAACUAAUAAACACAUGAAAUAUAGC